rnacentral:ribozyme from 1 species
UUUUUUUUUUUUUUUUUUUUUUUUUUUUUUUCCCCACCCAUGGGUUCAAUU